rnacentral:rRNA from 1 species
ACAUACGACCACAGGGUGUGGAAAACAGGGCUUCCCGUCCGCUCAGCCGUACUUAAGCCACACGCCGGCAGGUUAGUAGUUGGGUGGGUGACCACCAGCGAAUCCCUGCUGU